CAGUCGCCACGGGAAAACGGAGGGAGCUAGCGUUGUUCGGAAUUACUGGGCGUAAAGCGCACGUAGGCGGCUUUGUAAGUUAGAGGUGAAAGCCUGGAGCUCAACUCCAGAAUUGCCUUUAAGACUGCAUCGCUUGAAUCCGGGAGAGGUGAGUGGAAUUCCGAGUGUAGAGGUGAAAUUCGUAGAUAUUCGGAAGAACACCAGUGGCGAAGGCGGCUCACUGGACCGGCAUUGACGCUGAGGUGCGAAAGCGUGGGGAGCAAACAGGAUUAGAUACCCCCGUAGUCCCUGUCUCUUAUAC
rnacentral:rRNA from 1 species